rnacentral:sRNA from 15 species
GACUCCCUUCGUUAGGUGAGGCUCCUAUGUGGAGAUACGCUACUACCCAAAAAUGUCGAGAGACGCCAAUGGGUCAACAGAAAUCAUCGAAAUAAGGUGUUUUUUAACGUAGCUGGAUAAUUUCCUAUGCCGCAUAGUGCUAAAACUCAACGUUUGAAGGUAACA